rnacentral:lncRNA from 1 species
CCCAAAUGCGGCGUUACGUCAUUCGAGAAAAACCCGAUUAAAGUUACGUCACAAAAAUGAAUGGAGUUCAACACGUUUUCGCGUCAAUUAAUGCAUUUUAUCAAUUAACACUAUAUUAUUGGGAUAAUAAAUGAAUGAAGAGACAAACGUCAUUUAUCAAGCAUGCAUUCUAACAUUUCCGUGUUAAAUUGUCAUUUCGUUUCGUUAUCAAAUAACUGACAAUUUAUCGCCCUUUGUAUCAACACGCCAUUUGUAAACAUGAAAGGUCGUGAAAAAGGAAACUUUUAAACAUUUAUUUGACGAUUAAUUUAAAAGGGACAAUGAAUGGCAUUGCGCGAUUUACAGAUCAACUUUUGAUCAACAACUGAGGAACUUAUUGCUAUGUCCUUAAACAAAAAAGGAUUUCUCAAGGCAUGCCUACAUACCACAUGUUGGAAGAGUUUGUGGAAUGGCUGAAGGAUGAAAGAAUUUCCAGAAAAAUAAAAUUCUUUAUGAAUUUGUGAAUGGAAAUGAAACCGAAGGAACUAAUAUAUUUGCUUACCAUCCAGUUGAAAGUAUACCAAUGGAAUAAAGUGCAACUGUCAC